AUGUGGAAAGAGUCAUUUAUUGCACUAAGUAUUAGCAGUGUGAGGACAGAUAAACUUAUAUUUGGAAAUGGGACCACUCUCACAGUUGAACCAAACAAUCAAACAACUUCUGUCCCGGAAGUCAUUGUGAUGAAAUCAAAGAAACUGGAUGAAGAUGGCACCACUGGGAAAGCAGCUUGUUUGGCAAGGAAGUUCUAUCCAAAGAAGAUCAGCUUGGAGAUGUCCUCUAAUGAGGUCGUAUAUGAACAGAGUACACCCAUUUUGACAUCAGAGGCAGCAUACAAUGCUAUUAAGGUAGUCAAUGUGACAAAAGGCACAGAGGUGACCUGUACAGCCCAAUUCAACAACAGCACUGUUACAGCCAACGCAACAUUGCCAGAAAAUAAGGCUGAAGAAUCAGUAACAGAGGAGGUUUGCAACACCCCAGACACCUCUGCACAAGAUACCAAAACGGAGAAAGCGAACAUGUUGUCUAUGGCUGUGUUGGGUCUGAGAGUCCUGCUUGCAAAAAGUAUUGCCUUCAAUACACUCAUGACUAUCAAAUUGUUUCUUUUCUGA